rnacentral:rRNA from 1 species
UACGGAGGAUGCAAGCGUUAUCCGGAAUGAUUGGGCGUAAAGCGUCCGCAGGUGGCAAUGUAAGUCUGCUGUCAAAGCGUCUGGCUCAACCAGAUAAAGGCAGUGGAAACUACAUAGCUAGAGUAAGGUAGGGGUAGAGGGAAUUCCUGGUGUAGCGGUGAAAUGCGUAGAUAUGACAUAGAACACCAAUUGCGAAGGCAGCUUACCACACAGUUAUUGACGCUGAGGCACGAAAGCGUGGGGAUCAAACAGG